rnacentral:lncRNA from 1 species
CCUCUUACAACCGACACAGUCCUCCGUUCUUGGGGCAGAAGCUAUUUGCUUAGCUUUACACCCGUCCCAAGGUAUCAUUUCUAAUACAUCGGUGGGGCAGGCUCGGACACAUUGAGUCAGGCUCGGGCACAUUGAGUACAUCCUAUACAUGUAUCAUAAAUCUUUACUGAAUGUGACAUUGGAUUUGGAUCUAUAAUUUUUUUUUAACACCAAAAAUGGCAAAUUUUCGAUCUAGUAAACUCGUAAAUAAAUCAUAUAUUUAGCGAUCUAGUAAACUCGUAAAUAAAUCAUAUAUUUAGACACUAGAUGAAUCAACGAUUUACCAGAAUUUUGAUACUCAAAACCGACUUCUGGAUCAAUUCAUAAGAGGAGAGGGGACCAAGAUACUUUGAUUUCUUACGUUUUUGCAAACGUGCGAGUUUGUUGAAUUACACUAUU